GUUCCUUGGAACCAGGACGUCCACAGAGGGUGAGAAUCCCGUACGUGACCGGCCGCCACGCCCGUGUGAAGCUCCUUCGACGAGUCGAGUUGUUUGGGAAUGCAGCUCAAAAUGGGUGGUAAAUUUCAUCUAAAGCUAAAUAUUGGCCAGAGACCGAUAGCGCACAAGUAGAGUGAUCGAAAGAUGAAAAGCACUUUGGAAAGAGAGUCAAACAGUACGUGAAAUUGUUGAAAGGGAAGCGCUUGCAGCCAGACUUGCCCGUGGGUGAUCAGCCGGUAUUUUUACCGGUGCACUCGCCCGUGGUCAGGCCAGCAUCGGUUCGGGCGGCUGGACAAAGUCCACUGGAACGUAGCUCCCCUCGGGGAGUAUUAUAGCCAGAGGUGCAAUGCAGCCCGCCGGGACCGAGGACCGCGCUUCGGCUAGGAUGCUGGCGUAAUGGUUGUAAGCGACCCGUCUUGAAACACGGACCAAGGAGUCUAACAUCUAUGCGAGUGUUUGGGUGUCAAACCCAUGCGCGUAAUGAAAGUGAACGGAGGUGGGAACCCUCAAGGGUGCACCAUCGACCGAUCCUGAUGUCUUCGGAUGGAUUUGAGUAAGAGCAUAGCUGUUGGGACCCGAAAGAUGGUGAACUAUGCCUGAAUAGGGUGAAGCCAGAGGAAACUCUGGUGGAGGCUCGCAGCGGUUCUGACGUGCAAAUCGAUCGUCAAAUUUGGGUAUA
rnacentral:rRNA from 1 species